CAGUCCCUGAGGGACUAGUACAGUCCAAUGACAAUUAAUUGAUGCCUACUCUGUGUGGGCACUGAUGACACAGGAGUAACCAGCCUCAAUCCUGCUCUCAGGGGCCUUACUGUCUACGGAGAGACCAUCCUCACACUUGCUGCGACCCAAAUCCACCAUGUUCCUCCACAAAGCCCUCUCUGGGGCCUCCACAGCCCCUGGUGUGAAUCCUGCAACCAGAUCUUGGUAAGAGCAGCAGUGGCCUUGGGUGUCCCAUCUAAGAGCCAGGUUCGACGGUGAAGGAGCAUCUCCUAGCAGAGGGUUCAGCUUCCUCCCGUGGGGAGGCCAGUCUCCUGCAUUCCAUCGUCACACCCCAUAGAGGGCACAUUCUGGGGAACCCAGCCCCAUCUCUACCAGUGCCUGAGGGGCCCUGGGGGGCAAGAAGUAGCUGGAUCAUGAGGAGAUCCAAGGCAGUCCUCGUGGUGCUGCUGGUUAGGACUACAGGGAUCUACGGCCCCUCAUUCCAACUCUGCUACACUCCUGGAACUCCGGCCUUUGCCUCAGCCUCUCCACUGCCGUGUCCAUGAGGUCAGGCUGUUCCAAAACCCCUGCCUGCCCUCCCACCUCCUCCUAGAAACAGAUGCUUGCAGACCACCGUGUCCACACCUGCUUCCCAGAUAUGCCUAGCCCCCUGGGGCAGAAACUCAGCAGGGAAGUUCCGUAACACCUUGCACUUGGGCCCAGGCUCCAUCAGCCACCUGGUGUAAAAUCUCAGCCAGCCCCAGUGGACUUGGCUCUGAUCCCCUCAGGAAGGAAAGUGGGGAAUAAAAUGGAGGUGAGGAAGAUAUGGAAAAAUAAG
rnacentral:lncRNA from 1 species